rnacentral:lncRNA from 10 species
GCGAGCUGGCCUGGGCUUUCGUUACUGCCUCCCCUGCUCAUGAUGGGUAUUUACAUAUCCUUAGACCCUCAGCUAGAACAAGCUGCACCUGAGAUCAGUCUCCAGUGGCGUUUUGGUCCGGGAAAGGCCCUGACCUGUGGCCACACAUUAUGUAACCAUGCCACGUGAAGUGCAUUAGGUGAUCACUCACAUGAGUCUGUGCCUGGCUUAGAGACACUGUUGUCUACAAAAGGUAUAAUUACCCUGCUAGCGGCUAUACAUAGGGCUUGUGCCCAGAAAGAGGAUAAAGCCAUAUCAAAACUCCCUACGAUUCCUGUAGUGUUUUUCCAGCUACUCCCCCACCGACUCCCCUCGGACCUCAGUUUGGGAUAGAACCUGACAAUUGGUGUCAUGAACAGGAUCCUGAGAUUUAGAAGCAGUGGCGUCCCUCUUGCGGCAACAUUUAGCAGCAUGUGGUUGGGCCGUCAACGAAUCCAAGGUCCAAGGUCCUGGAUUAUCUGCCAGAUUCUUGGGAGUUAUCUGGUCAGGCUCCAGUUAGUAGUUGCUGCCUAGGAGAUGAAGUGAAUUUCACAAGAAAGACAUAAGAAGCCAACAACUGAUUUGGAAUGAUCUGAGAGACUGACACAAAAAUGUUGGAGACAUCCCAUCUACACAACACAGCCCAAAUGAUCAGCUGCAUUCCUGCAGAGCCAUCUCUUCAGUAUAUACAAAUGAAGGAGAUGAGCAGUAUUAUUUUAUUACCACAUUCACAAAAGGGACAAGCUGUGAAAUGCCUAGAUUCCAGAGCAACAGACUGUGAUCCAUUCCCAACAACCCCUCCCUACCGUCUGCCACCAGUUCCCUUAAAGCAGGAAUCAGAGCUAGACUGACUCAACUAAGGCAAGAAGCUUGACAUAGCAUCGAUGAGCCCAAGUCAACUAUAUGAACAAAACAAUGUCUCAGGAGGGGCAGGGUAUCACGUCAGAAGAAUCCUGAGUCCUUAGAUGACCUUGUAGAAAAGAGCCACAAACUUACUCUGGGCUACCUUCAUACCUCUGAACUAUUAUGCAGAGAGAAAUAAAUGUAUUCAAAUCACUGUUUUUUGGGUUUCUUCAUUCAUGUAGCUUAGCCUAUAACCUAAGUAA